GUUGACCUCAGAUUAGAUAGGGAU
rnacentral:rRNA from 1 species